CUUGUUUCAGAUAUUAGACUGAUCCAAACAGCGUCGGGACAGAAAUUUCUGGAAAGACAACGAAAAAGAUAGCGUGCACAAGAAGAACCAGAGCCAGUGACUGCACCGUUUUCACUGAUUUACUCUGCACGCUGCAACAACAACAACAUACAACACGGGAGUGCACUCUAGUGGCCAUCAGAUGAUGGUGAGUAAUCUCGAGCUCAACGUUUUGAAGAUUGAGCACCUUGUAAUCUCUGCCAACCCAUCAGAUGACCACUGCCUACAAUACUAAAGUGCAACUUAACCUCUAGAGAUGAUCCAGAAUGAGCAGAAGCUUGGUUUUCCUUCACAACAAUGUAUCAGGUUGUAAUUUUUGUAGAGGUCAUGCAUCAGACUGUACU